AUGGCGGCCACGCUGUCGCAGCUGGACGACGGCAUCGUCCGCAGCAUGGCCAUCGGCGCGGUCUUCACCGACUACGCCGGGAAGAUAAGCUGCCUCGACUUCCACCGCAAGGAGGACCUCCUCGUCACCUCCAGCGAGGACGACUCCAUUCGCCUCUACAACACCACCAGCGCCACGUUGUCGAAGACAACUUAUCAUAAAAAACAUGGUGCUGACCGUGUCUGUUUUACUCAUCAUCCGAGUUCCAUAUUAUGUUCAUCAAGAUACAAUGUGGAGUCAGGAGAAUCACUUCGUUACCUGUCAUUGUAUGACAACCGUUGCUUGAGAUAUUUCAAAGGACACAAAGACAGGGUUGUUUCACUAUGUAUGUCACCUGUCAAUGAUAGCUUUAUGUCGGGGUCACUUGAUCACAGUGUCAGAAUAUGGGAUCUUCGUGUAAAUGCUUGUCAGGGUAUACUACGUCUGCGUGGUAGGCCUUCUGUUGCAUAUGAUCAGCAGGGACUUGUUUUUGCUGUAGCAAUGGAGGGAGGUGCUAUUAAGCUGUUCGAUUCUCGGUCAUACGACAAGGGUCCAUUUGACACUUUCUUGGUUGGUGGAGAUACGGCUGAAGUGUCUGACAUUAAAUUCAGCAAUGAUGGCAAGUCUGUGCUUUUGACUACAACUAACAACCAUAUAUAUGUUCUGGAUGCAUAUGGAGGGGAGAAGAAGUGUGGCUUCAGCUUGGAGCCAUCUCGCAACAUUGCAACUGAAGCUGCUUUCACUCCAGAUGGUCAAUAUGUAAUUUCAGGAUCUGGUGAUGGUACCUUGCAUGCUUGGAACAUCAAUACAGUACAGGAGAUUGCCUGUUGGAACAGUCAUAUUGGUCCUAUCACUGCUUUGAAAUGGGCCCCUCGUCGAGCUAUGUUCGCAACUGCAUCAACCGCACUAACUUUCUGGAUUCCCAACGAAUCCAGUUCGAGUUAG
rnacentral:rRNA from 1 species